AACGAACGCUGGCGGCAUGCCUAACACAUGCAAGUCGAACGAGACCUUCGGGUCUAGUGGCGCACGGGUGCGUAACGCGUGGGAACCUGCCCUUAGGUUCGGAAUAACUCCCCGAAAGGGGUGCUAAUACCGGAUAAUGUCUUCGGACCAAAGAUUUAUCGCCUUUGGAUGGGCCCGCGUUGGAUUAGCUAGUUGGUAGGGUAAAAGCCUACCAAGGCGACGAUCCAUAGCUGGUCUGAGAGGAUGAUCAGCCACACUGGGACUGAGACACGGCCCAGACUCCUACGGGAGGCAGCAGUGGGGAAUAUUGGACAAUGGGCGGAAGCCUGAUCCACCAAUGCCGCGUGAGUGAUGAAGGCCGUAGGGUUGUAAAGCUCUUUUACCCGGGAUGAUAAUGACAGUACCGGGAGAAUAAGCUCCGGCUAACUCCGUG
rnacentral:rRNA from 1 species